ACGUCUCUCUCUCUCUGUGUGUGUGUGUGAGAGAGAAUUAAAAGAAAAAAACAUACACGCCGCAGGUGGCCUUCCGUAUUUGAGUUGUUAACCGAGCUGCUGAGGCUCAACCUGGGGUUAAAGAAAAGUUGUGUCGUAGCAAGGUAAAAUGAUCUUCUCUUUGCGGGACUUUAAUUAACCGGCGGUUGCGGGUAAGAUCCUGAUCAGAUUGCUCCACAGACCAGAGUGUUGAAUUAAACUAAGGCGUCAAGCUUUGUACUACGUGUUGCUGCUGCUGCUCUUGUGAUGUUACCGGCGACGGGCAGUUACUCCGGUAGCUCUGCGCCUGAGUAGUAAGGUGCUGUUUCUGAACUCAAGCUUCUGGGGAAAUGACCAUCUCUUUCGUGCGCCUUGUGGACAUCUUAUUUGCUACACAACGCGCCCCGGCCGCCGUGAGAUUGCGAAGGCGAAAAGUUUCCGAUGAAUUUUGUUUGUUUUGCGCUCUGACAGUUCACUGCCACCGCUUUGAGUUCUGGUGUCUUGGAAAUGCCUCUGUGGAAGCCUGCGCAGGAACACCAGGAGCCAGAUCCGCAGAAAUGGAAGCUCUUGGAUUCACAACAGCACUGCUUUCAGCAUCGACCUCUUGCUGCGGAGCCUCUUCAGCCCACUUCCCUGGAAGAGAAAAUGUAGAUUGGUGUUACUCCUGCCCAUUGAGAGAACCCUCGCUUUGCUUUUGUUUAGAAUCCAUUUUCAUUAAGGAAUAAACUUGACUAAAAAGCGCAUGUUUCCAGACCAGAAUUUUUCUCUCUUUAACAUGUGCUUGAAUUGUUUUUUUUUUUUUUGUUCCUUUACCCACCUACAAAACAUCCUUAAGGUACUGAGGGAUUUGCACACUUCUGUGAGAAAUUGCUUACUAAAUCGUUUAAUGCUCUGCAUCAGUUAAAGGUGUGUACUCUCAGGCAUACGCUUAGUUAAAUGCACAAGGUCACUGUUUUCUGGUCUUAAAUUUAUUUAAAACCUUAAGAUGAUACUGUCUUUCUUAUCUCUGCAGCUCAUCAGUGGUGGGAUGAAGUGAGUCCUCCUGUAUGGAAAGCGCUAUAUACAGUGGGCGUAGAAAGUGAAAGUGUAGAAAAUAUUGAUUCCUGUCUAUUUUGUCGUGUCACAUCUGGAAGACUUGAUAUUCUUUUUUCCACCUUUUGAGCUGUGCAAUGUCCUCUGCAAUAUCCAUCUGUUUUAAAGUUUGGAGCAAGAAAAUAAAUUGGUUAAAAGUUAAAAAACAGUUAAAAUCUUAAUUGGGAGUAGUAUUCAGCCCCUUAGCAUUAACUCUCCUUAAUUGGCUCACCCAGUUGCCUUCAGACUUUGUGCAAAUGUUGAUUGGAAUCCACCUGUGUGCAAUCAAAGUGGUUAACCAUC